rnacentral:rRNA from 1 species
GAUGAACGCUGGCGGCGUGCCUAAUACAUGCAAGUCGAGCGAACGGACGAGAAGCUUGCUUCUCUGAUGUUAGCGGCGGACGGGUGAGUAACACGUGGAUAACCUACCUAUAAGACUGGGAUAACUUCGGGAAACCGGAGCUAAUACCGGAUGAUAUUUUGAACCGCAUGGUUCAAAAGUGAAAGACGGUCUUGCUGUCACUUAUAGCUGGAUCCGCGCUGCAUUAGCUAGUUGGUAAGGUAACGGCUUACCAAGGCAACGAUGCAUAGCCGACCUGAGAGGGUGAUCGGCCACACUGGAACUGAGACACGGUCCAGACUCCGACGGGAGGCAGCAGUAGGGAAUCUUCCGCGAUGGGCGAGAGCCUGACGGAGCAACGCCGCGGGAGUGAUGAAGGUCUUCGGAUCGUAAAACGCUGUUAUUAGGGAAGAACAUAUGUGUAAGUAACUGUGCACAUCUUGACGGUACCUAAUCAGAAAGCCACGGCUAACUACGUG